AAGUCGUAACAAGGUCUCCGUAGGUGAACCUGCGGAGGGAUCAUUAACACGUAUCCACGUAUCAAACCAAACCGCGCACUAGGAGCAGAAGAAACCUCCCUGCGAGGAAGUAUGAUGUUCCAAUCUGACUUGGAAAAGAAAUGCUGUCAGUUAGCAUCGUGUAGUGGGUCCUUCGGGACGAUGCUCUUUGACUGGAGGGAAAAGCUCAAGGCAUAGUAUUUUCCAAGUAUAAAAAUUUUCUACCUCUACGGGAAGCCAACCUAUUUCACCCCCAUAUAACCACUUGACUGAUGACGCUCGUGCGGAGAAAUCCGAUUCGAGUUUUCGAUAUUCGAACUAAAGCACAACUCUUAGCAACGGAUAUCUUGGUUCUC
rnacentral:misc_RNA from 1 species